UUAUUCCAGCUAAAAUAACUCGUUUAUUAAAGUAUUUUGGAAUGCCGAGGCUUAUAGCCUCAAUGACAUCUGGAAUGAAAAUGAGAAAUUUGAAUAGAAAAAUGAGAAUACCUGUAUUGGUAUAUAUAAAACGAUAAUGAUGAAUGUUCGAAUUUAUUAAUAAUAAUAAUAGUAAUAAUUCCUACAUGAAUUUCUUUCUUUUCACCUCAACAACAGACCAAUUUGAACAUAUGGAGCACAGAAAAAAAUGAAAAUUCAUCAAAAUCUAAUUUUAAAUAAGAAUGUUGAUAAAAACAGAUUAAAAACUUGAACAUACAUCAAUUAAUAACAGUUUGAAAAUUGUAACAUCACCCGCAAACAGGUGCCCCACAUGUUUAGUAGUAUAAAUUUCAUAAAUUGUGAUUUUCAAUGCUUUAUUGUAACUGAAAAAAUUCUUCAUGGCUAGCAACAGAUAUCAAAAAAACAUUUUUAUAAUCUGUGCUGUAGAUUGGUAGAUCCAUGGAGCUAUAAAACAGAUAGAUCUGUGCUGUAGAAAUGGGGUUAUGGCAUGUACUGGCCUGUAAUCCAAGCUAUGUUGGGUAGUUACAAAAUGAUGCAGAGGUUUGAGCCCUGGACACAUAUUUUGGAUGGUGACGUUAAAGGUCGGUCACAUAUAUGAAUAAUCAUUCCUCAUUAGUACAUGUCUGACAAAACUCAAUCCUUUCAUUUACCUCGGUAUUGUAUUCAUUUUUUUUUUCAUUCUCACUAGGGAUCUGCCAAGUCUCGUCAUUCAGCAACAACCAAGAGACAUCGUAAGAAAUGGGAUGCUACUAGAUCCCUGAGGUAUAAUCAAGACACACAGAGAGAAGAAGAUCAACUGAGAGGUAAUUUUCUAGUUCAACAUCUUCUUAAGAUGAGAACUCCACUGGCUGAUAAGCAGCAGGAGAAGACCAAAGCCAAGGAGUAUGCUGGAGGGAUGUUUAGUAGAGUUGAUGCCCAGUUCAGGGCCAGCCAACAAGUCACCAAACCAGUAACCCUGCAACCUGUAUCAAGGACCAAAAGUCGCAGCAUCUCCAGUAAACUGCCAUGAGUGGACGAUACAAGAAUCCAUCUUGUCUCCGAAGACGUCAUCUUUUAUCUUCAUUCCGUCCUGGCUGAGUUCAAUGCAAUUUCUCAAUGAAAGCGAUAUACAAAAUGGUGAUGCAAAUUUCCUUAGUCAUUAGUGCUUAGAGACAUGAUGUAAUGAUGUGAUGUAUGUUAUAUCAGGAAAAAACAGACAAUCAGAAAGGGCGAUUUAGGGCUAUAUGAAAUCUCCUAAGUUGCCCUGGUAACUUGCGAGAUAGCCCCCGUAUUAUAAAAUUGUGGUCAAUCCAAAAUGUGAUUUGGUAUGAACAGAAGCAAGAAUUUUCUCUGUGUAGAAAAUAACAUUUGUUACCCUGAAUACAAUACAUCCCAUAACCAUUCUGAUACCAUCUUCUUUUUAGUAAGUUCUAACCAAAUGUUAGAGGCUGUUCUCACUACGUUCCUAAAACUAGUUUACUGGAAACUAGUUUAACGCGUAGUGAGAACGGUCGAAGCGGUCUUGGAAGCGAUCUUCCAAACCAGUUUGGAAAACCACCUCGCGAUGUAGUUUUCAAGAUCGCUUUGCCUCGUUAAACUGGUUUUAGCGUAAGUGAGGACACAACCGUUCUUCGGGAAGCGAUCUUUGCACAUUUUGAGCGCGCUACUCCACACGACAGGUGUAGAAUGCCUAUGCUGCGGUUUCGAAUUUCGCGCGAAACGUGUCACCCCACUGAGAGCGUUUCCACAGCAACAAGAGCGCUUUACGUGAAGUGAUUUUGAAAACCCCUUUCGUUUGAUCAAGUGGGAACGCUAGCAAAGCGAUCUUUCAAAGUGGUUUCCUGAAUCGGUUUCCAGUAAACUAGUUUUAGAAAGCGUAAUGAGAACGGCCUCUUAUACUCACUCAUACGUGAAGUAUGGAUGUUAUAAACUACAUUAAAUGAAAGAUGGUGAUCUAAGCUUGGCAUAUACAUGUCAUCUAUCAUUCAUUGUUGUAAAUUCAUGAAAAAUAAAGUGAUUAUCAGGAUUUUGGGGGUGGGACAUCGUAAAUUGUUCACGAGAAUAGUUGUUUUUAUUGACAGGUUGUCUCUUUACUCUUUUGUAACAAGCACUAAUAUUGGGGUCACAUUUUCUGUUAGCUGUUGAAUACAGAGAUAUUCUUUCUUCAUAAAAGUGUAGGUAGAAAAAAAUUGUUAUUCACCUUUCACAUACAUAAGUCAACACUAUUUCUGUAAUUUGAAUGAUCUGAUUUGAAAAGAAAUAUAAAAAUUUGUCAGAAACAUUAACCAGGGCUUUGAACAUUGUUUUGUUAUUCAUUAGACAGACGCUAGGUGAAAAAAUGCACCUUUAUGGUUCCAUGGAUCCAUGAUGGUUCUUAACUUUCACAUUUUAAGCAUACAAUAAACACGGCAACUUAUAAGCCAUGUAUGAGGCAUACAAGAUAAAUGAACAAGUUUUUUAAGCAAACUAGAUUUUAAUUAUAGUCGUUUGUCACUUGAAUACUUAACCUAUGUUUGUUUCUGGAAUACUGAAUCCUUUUCCUUUAGAAGAUAAUUCCAUGCUAUUGUAAAAGGCUAAGAGUUUUUAUUUGUAAUAUUAUGUAGACUUGUUUACUAACUAAUUCAAAUUUACAGUGCCUCUUUCUAAGGAUCUAAUAUCUAGGAAUUCCAUUGAUCUACUUUCAAUGAAAUGAUUACAUGGUAUCAUGUUUGCAUCCAUCCCCUGUUUCUAUGUCUAAAGUUUAAACAAGUUUAUUGUCUAUGGUAGUGCUUAUUUAUGGAGAAAAUAUUAUUUGAUGUGAUUAGAAAUAUUGAUUUUUCAGUAUUGUCCUUGUAUAUUGCAUAUUUAUGAAUUCAAAUUGUGUUUUUGUAUAGCAUUAUUUAUUGAGCAAUUUUUAUGUUAUAGUUACAAACAUGUAAUAAAUAUGUCAUUUAUUAUCUGGA